UGGCCACAGCAGCUGCCUGAAGAUGGAAAGCAAACCACAGGACCAGAAGGAUCUGAUAAUCCUUGUCAUCAAUUGACCCUAACUUGUUUUCAGAAGUGAUUUUGGUAGCCAUUCAUCCCAGUUCCUUUGUCUUAGCACACCCCAAAAUCAUCACAUUUACAAGUCAGCUUGAAUGAGUACCUGUGUUCCAGAGAAGCCCAGGGGUGGAAUAUCAGGUAGCUGCAGGGGAGACUUCCACUGUAUAGGAGGAGUUUGCACAGUGGAUGGGUUUGUUAAGGUGUUAAUCAAACUGACUCUUCUUCCUUCACUUCCAGGAGCCCAUCGGAUUCAAAUGUGAAUGAAAACCUAUUUAAUCUUCACAACAAAGUUCAACCCAAGGCAACUCCUCCAUCUGCCAUUGCAAUUGCAUUGAUCCUGGCUGAGAAGAACACAGAACAUUUAGCUCCUUCCAGACCAGAGGACCAGCAUGCAAAGCCCAAAUCAAAGGCUGCAAGAAAACAGUGGAACUGAAACCAAACCCACGGCUCUUUCCUGCAGACAGCAGCCUCACGUUCUAGUCACAGGACAUGGUGAAGACAGCCCAAAUGUAGCAGAAGAAAGAAAAAGCCGGGAGUCACCGCCUGUGUUUAUUUUCUCUCGAUCUGUAAACAAACCACGUUGUAAUCUGCUGUACCUGUUCCCAUCGUAAGGAUGUACGUGUUGGGAUCCUGUACUAUGGACAUCCAAGUUGUGGCUGCUGAGGAGAGGAGGAAAUUAUAAAUCAGAGAAAAAAAGAUGGUUGCAAACCGUGUAGGCCAGGCAAGGGAGGCAUGCUGGCUGGGCACCCCCCAGGUGGCACAGCUCCAUGUGGUGCAGUAGCUCCUAGACACAACCGGACCUACAAGGAAGACCAAGAUAAUAAAUAAUCAGACCAAAAAUAAUCAGAUCUGUUAUUGCCUCCUUCUGUCAGUGCCUGUGAAAAGAAGACUAGGGUGAAUGGUGAGGCAAAACUAGGGCUGGGCAAAAACUGACAAAGAAACUUGAAAACAUAUUGGUGAUAAAAUACAGUUUUGUUAUUUAAAAAAUGAAAUCUGGGCAGAUGUGGCUUGCAGUCAUUCUGCUUUUCUGCUGGGGUCGUCCCCACUUUCCCCUGUCAGAUCUUGGUGAUCUGCAAAUUUUGUUCAUCAAGACUUUUUUGUGCAGUUUUUUUUCCCUAAUAUUUUUUCGGGGGUUCACAGAGCCUGUUGUCACAGAUCGGAAACCGACCCAACGUGGGGGUCUGCACUCUUAAAAAAUGGCCAAAGCCAUUAACAGGCACUCUGGCUUCAGAAAGAGUGAAUGCUGGCCUCCCCACCGUUCCCUGGAUGCAGAUUUCAGCCUAUGCAGCUCUACUUCUAGUUGUAAGCUGCCGGGGAAAUGUUAAAUUAGGAGCAUCUCUGGAAGGAAAAGCAGCACAUCUGAAGUGCCUCACUAACAAUUAAAUGCCUUUGGUUAGUUGCUCUUCUAUGACCAGGAUAAAUUUUGUAAGGGCAAGAGCAGGUUUCAUAGCGGGAUGUUUCCAAGCCAGCCCGCUGUGUAGCAUUUGAGGACAAGCAAAAUUCAGACACCCUUCCAUAAAGAGCUCCCAAGCUGCUCUGAGCGGCACCGAGCGCUCCACAUAGCUCCAGCUCCUGAGUGCUGUGAGUACUCUAAUCUAGAGCACUCGGGUAUUUGAAAUCUCAAUUAUUUAUGUGUUCAUGCUGUGGGUUAAUGCUGACUGACACUAAAACACUGCCUAGAUUUAGCUUCAUAAAAUUUUUAUCCCCACUAUGAACUACAAGUCUUUCUCCAAUUUCAUUUAAAGGAAACGGAGUAUCAAAAAGCCUACUGAGGAAUUCAUGAGCAACCAGUUAUGGCCCCACUCUUCCUCCUAGCCAAAUCCUGGGACUUGAUUACCAUGGCAACAUAUCAUAAUUUUAAUGCCCUUCCUGGUUGCAGUUGUACAGAGACAAGUACAUUUGCUUGCUUCCAUAUUAACCAGCCGUCUACUUCAGGUUGGGUGUAAGGUUCGUGGCCGUUGCUUCCUACCUCAUGGUCCUACUAGGGUGUAUAUAUAUGUCAGUUCAUUCUGUUUGCAAAGUGUUUGGAAAAUGUAGUGGAAAAUCAGCAAACUUAAGCAAACACAUAGUCUCAUGUGCACUAAUCUUCAGGCACUGCACUGUAUACCAGUGGGAAGGGCAUCUGUGUGCAGUCAGACAAUUUAUUGUGGCACAGUACAGUGAGGUCUUUUGCAAGAAACUACGUGUUCCUUAUCUGGGUUAUGCCUUAAAAAAAUAUUUCAACAAAUAAAGGCAACAUUUACUGCAGCUGGAUUAAAAUUGGACUUCAGUCAGAAUCACAAUGUAAAUUAUGAGCUUUUAUGAAGACAUAAAAUUAUAUAUCAUCAUUAUUACCUAA